rnacentral:lncRNA from 1 species
AUCUGAAGUGUGAAUAGGAUUGGUGAAAGAGUGAAAGAGUGUUGUGUGCUUUUGCUGAGUUUAGGAUGGUGUCAAUUGUGCCUCAGGAGAAGAGUUUAGACAUUCUGUCCUGAUGAAUGUAAUCAAGUCUUUAUUUCAUGGUUUCUCUUAACGCAAAUACGUACAGGUUCAUAUUCGUCGAUGAGGGUGAGAGGAAAACUAUCGCCAACAGAAAGAAUCCAGAUAGGAAGAGAGAAAAAGAAAGACCAGAGAUGGUUCAUGUGGGCUGCUCCUCAUAACCCUGCUCAAACACUACUGAGGCAUCAGGAUCUUCAAGAUUCAUAUGAGGAAACUGAAGCGAAAGAAUGUUGACUAAUUUUGUCAAGGUCACACAACUGCUCUCUUUGGUGACUUCCUGAAGCUUGAAGUAUCUUCCUUGGGAGACGUAUUAUAGAAUUUGAAAUCCCACUGGCCAGAUCUCAGCAUGUAGUUUCAUCCCAACUCUACAGAAGUCUGGAAAAUACAGAGAGAACAUGCUCUUUCCCUAGGAAGAAGAGAUGAGAGCUCCAUCUCUCUGCUGGUGGAAGGAGAGGUUGUCUUUCCCUUCCCAUAGGGCAAGAAGAGCUGCCUCCACAUCCUCCUUCUGCUGUAGCUGAAGAGCCUGUUUAAAGGAACAUCCUGAUGGGGCUCAGCCUUUUGACCCCCAGAAAACAUGGCUUUGUCUGCCAUCCUGCAGCUCAUCAUGGGAGCCUGCAAAGUGGUUGGGGGCAGCACACACCAGCAUGCUGUGAAGAGAGGAAAGAGCUGCCGGGAUAACAACCCCGCAGCCACCAUAAUGACUCAGAUUAGAACACAAGGGAACACCAGCCAUUUUUUAGUCUGUCAGUUUUUCUAUUAUCCUCAAGACUGAGCAUGAAACAUUCAUUAUAACACGUCCUUAUUGAUUCAACUGAUGGAAAUAUAUUGGUAUUAAUAACACGAAACUCUAAGGCACUGAGGAUAAUAAAAUGAUUGCGAACAUAA